UGCAUUAACAGAGCACUUCUCUGUCACAGGGGCAGUAAGAGAAUGCCUGGAUCUGCUCCGGAGCCUGUGGGAUUGGUGCAUGCAAACUGCCACUGAGGAGAAGAAGAGUUUGGCAACGAUCAUCCUUAAUCACUCUUUCCAAAAGCUGCUUUACCACUCUCUGAGCGAAGUGAGGCACUGUGUUGCACCCCUGCUCUUCAGUGAGGAUGGCAUCUACACAUCCAUUGCUGAGCUGGGACACAAAGUGAUCCCGGCCAAUCCCAGCCACGUGGAAGCAGCUCUCCAAGAAUGCCUGCAGGCCGCCUUCCCUGAGCUAACCCUUAAGGGACGGAUGAAGACAAAUGAUAGUUGCAUAUUUGUGCAAGGAGUCACACUCGCAGGCAAUGCAAAGGUCUGCAUAGCCAAACAGCAGAGCCUGAAUGACAUCUUGCAGACGAAUACCACUGAGAGUGGCUGUGAAAGGUUUCAGGAGGUGAUCAAAAUAGUGGCUCUGUGUCAAGACAGGGAGUCCAUUGCCAAGCUGCAAAAGUCCAGCACCUGUGGAGUGCCUCCAUUGUAUGUAAUUGAAGAUGGGAAUUCACUCUUGACUUUCCUGCAGGAGAAAAGGAACAAGCUCACCCUAUCUGCUAUGAUAGGCAUUUUGAAAGACAUUGCAAGAGCUGUCUGGUCGUGUCACCAGAAAAAAGUUUUGCUUUGUAGCAUCACUCCAGCCAGCUUCAUCGUGGUCAGAGGUGAGCAGCAAGGAACAGGAGCACCUCAAGUCCGGGUCAAGCUGUCUGAUUUCCUCCAGGCCAGGCUGACUCCCCCCGAGGAUGAGAAAGACUAUUCAUCUAGUGACUACCUCUAUGAAACCAUCAAAUCUGUACAGCUCAGAGGAGACAGUGAGGAUCCACUGCCCAUAUACUUCAGUGCUCCCGAGUCCCUGCAGCAUCACCUCUUCUCGGUUUUCUCUGAUGCAUGGGCUACUGCUGCCACAUUUUAUUCUGUUCUCCUCUACGGUGGACAAACAUACUUUGAGCUCAGGCACUUGCCUGUGGCCAGAUUCAUAGGAGAGGUCUGUAGUGGGCACAGAGCACAAAGACCAGACUCAGUUCCUCUGAAACUGUGGGACAUAAUAGCCCCCAAUCUGGAGUACGAUGAGCCAAACCGUACAACUAUGGAGUCGCUGGUAGAGUGCAUGGAAAACUGUGGGAGUACCUUGGGUAUGGAAAACACUGUAACUGGCGAGUCUUUUGGUCAACAUCACUGUCCUUUCCUUUA
ensembl:lncRNA